GUGGGGAAUAUUGGGCAAUGGGCGGAAGCCUGACCCAGCGACGCCGCGUGGGGGAAGAAGUCUUUCGGGAUGUAAACCCUUGUUGUACGGGACGAAGGAAGUGACGGUACCGUACGAGGAAGCCCCGGCAAACUAUGUGCCAGCAGCCGCGGUAAUACGUAGGGGGCGAGCGUUGUCCGGAAUCACUGGGCGUAAAGCGCACGUAGGCGGGCUGUCAAGUCGGCCGUGAAAGGCACGGGCUCAACCUGUGCAUGUCGGUCGAUACUGGCGGUCUGGAGUAUGGGAGAGGGAACUGGAAUUCCCGGUGUAGCGGUGAAAUGCGUAGAUAUCGGGAGGAACAACAGUGGCGAAGGCGGGUUCCUGGCCCAUGACUGACGCUGAGGUGCGAAAGCCGGGGGAGCGAACGGGAUUAGAUACCCGAGUAGUCC
rnacentral:rRNA from 1 species